rnacentral:rRNA from 1 species
AGUAACGCGUAGGUAAUCUAUCCUUACAUUCGGGAUAACAUUGGGAAACUGGUGCUAAUACCGAAUGGUCUUCUUUGCUGCGGGGCGAAGGAGUAAAGGUGGCCUCUUCAUGAAAGCUACCGUGUAGGGAUGAGCCUGCGUACCAUUAGCUAGUAGGUGGGGUAACGGCCCACCUAGGCUACGAUGGUUAGCGGGUCUGAGAUGAUGAUCCGCCACACUGGAACUGAAACACGGACCAG